rnacentral:piRNA from 1 species
AAGGUGGUUAUUGCCAGGCGCUUGCAGGA